rnacentral:rRNA from 1 species
UACGUAGGGGGCGAGCGUUGUCCGGAAUUACUGGGCGUAAAGGGCGCGUAGGCGGUCUGUUAAGUUAGAUGUGAAAUCCCCGGGCUUAACCUGGGUGUUGCAUUUAAAACUGGCGGACUUGAGUGCAGGAGAGGAAAGCGGAAUUCCUAGUGUAGCGGUGAAAUGCGUAGAUAUUAGGAGGAACACCAGUGGCGAAGGCGGCUUUCUGGACUGUAACUGACGCUGAGGCGCGAGAGCGUGGGGAGCAAACAGGAUUAGAUACCCUGGUAGUCCACGCCGUAAACGAUGGAUACUAGGUGUAGGGGGUAUCGACUCCCCCUGUGCCGCAGCAAACGCAAUAAGUAUCCCGCCUGGGGAGUACGGCCGCAAGGUUGAA